rnacentral:tRNA from 1 species
GCUCCCGUGGCCCAACUGGCAGAGGCGCGCGACUUAAAAUCGCGUUCGGUGUGGGUUCGACUCCCACCGGGGGCACAA